rnacentral:snRNA from 1 species
UCUCAGGCGUGAUCAGCUUCC